rnacentral:tRNA from 1 species
GGGCGAGUGGCGGAAUUGGCAGACGCGCAGGAUUCAGGUUCCUGUGAGCUAACGCUCGUGGGGGUUCAAGUCCCCCCUCGCCCA